CUUGUCCCUAGAGGCAUUGUCUGUGUGUCAGAUACAUCACCUGUGCAUCAGUAGGUGGCAGAGAGAAGAGAGGCUAUGUCUACUCUCAGUUUUCUAACCUGUGAUCAUCUGAAUGAGAAGUACUUUAACAUU
ensembl:snoRNA Gm22367 small nucleolar RNA SNORA17